rnacentral:lncRNA from 1 species
UUCAGUAGAGUCCAUUGUAAUCCAUAUCAAGCUCGAUGCCAAAUAAGGUAUGCCCAAAGUUUCGACAUCAUUUUUGCUAGGACGUGAAGUCUAAGCUCGAGCAUCUUCCAUAAGACCACCCUAUAGCCGUGGUGCUGGGUGUAGAUUUAUUUGAUUUAGUAACUGAGUUAGUGUUGCAACUUGUUGGCAGGGCCCUUCAAACAUUCGAAGGGCAAUGACUGCUAAUAGAGGUGUUGUUUUCCCUGAUGAUUCCUCCUGCGGAAUCGAAGGAUCUUCAGCGUAUGGCUUAUUAGGGACAGAUGAGUUUGCUUGAAGAUGUCCUAAACGUGUAUUAACCAUAACUUUUGAUAGCGAUUUCCAUAGAAAGCGUUAAUGAUGGUGCCAAAUAUUUGGGGAUUUUCGAGCUUGAAGAUAGAGAAUGAGCAGAGACAAUAUCUUUCGAUAUUUGAAAUAAAGGGAUUGAGGUGUGUUUUUGUCACCCCUCUAAUGCUUGAGUUAGAGAAAGAAUUUGUGCGUGGGACUACAAACUGAAAAC